CUCUUUGCAGAGCUUAUUAUCAUGCAGAUCACUGGCUGGAAACUGGAUGUAAUUUCCAUCCUUCACGUCCUUCUGGGAUGUGUUCCAGAACCAGUCUGGGAUCUUGUCUUGGCUGGGAUUGUGCAUGAUGGUGAUCACAAGUUCCAUUUCAUCCUUAAGGACCUCUCUUUGGGAGUCAGUGUCUAUAUUCCUCAGGACCAAGAUAAAAGAAAUCAUCGACCUAGAGACUGUUGUACAGAGUGAAAUAUGUUCUCAGUAUCAGUGGAAGAAUAACAGGUAAAGCAGAAUUGUAUCACAUGUGUCUUGUAAUAUUGAGCUGGGAAGUGUUUAGAGAGUUCAUUUGGUCCAACCCUCUGUGUCCAAUCAGAUGGCUACUCCAAAAACUACAGGUACUGCUUGAAAUCAGUGGUUCCCAUCUACUUUCACCAGCUCUUUCUUUUAUGUAAAAACAAACAACCAAACAAAAAAGGAAGGUCUGUUUUUCAUCAUGAAUCUUAGAAUUUAUUCAAAGAAAAGUUAUCUCAAACAGUACAUAUUUCAGACUCAGUUUUAAGUCAUUUUUUAUUUUUAUUUUUUCUAGUUCUAAUAACAAUACUAAGAAAGGGAUCAGGUAAUCAGCAAUGCUCUAACAUUUUCCCAACAGCUAUUAAUUUAGCUUUACAUGUAUUUAAAAAAAAUGGUUGAUUUAAAGGGGGAUUCGUUUGAAUUAAAAGCACUGAAAAAAAAAAAAAAUUGCAAAAGAAAAUCCUAGUGGUGUUCAUUCAGCCACCAUCCAGAGAAGGAGUGUUGUUUACCAGACCUAAUAUAUUCAGAUCACAUUGGGCAUGGCGUAUCUAUUCUGAGAUCUAUGUAUCAGGAAGACUUAGCUUGCAUACAUUAAACUUGAAAUUCAAUUGGCCGCUGAUUUAACACUCAUCAGAAAAUUUCUUUGAUCAUUUGGACUUCCAUGAAGCUCUGCUUACAAAGAGAAAGUAACUUUGCGUUGGACAGACCAUAAAACACAUGAUCAGAGUCAUAUCUAAUGUUUUCUUCUGAGAGAGCACAGCCUCUAGAAAUUCUUGUGCGUAGGAAAAGGGUGAAGCCAAUUCGGUUCUCUAAUUGCAAGUGAUGGCCCUAAGGAGCUGCACCUGGGCCACGCAUGCGCAGACAUAGCCGGGAGCCAGGUAACGAAAACUACCGGGAGAGGGUUCAGUCUCUUUGAGAGGGCAUGCCUCUGAGAUGCUUCUGGAGUGAGUGAGUCGUCAGCGUUGUUGGCGGAUCCUAUGGGUGAGGAGCCAUGCUUCUACCAACUUUGGGGGCUUUUCAGUCUUAGAAGCCCUUUCACAAUUGAGAUUCUCCAUUUUUAAAGCCCCAGAGGCAAUCUGCAAAGGUAAGGAUCCUCAUUGAUUUCUGAUGUGUGUUGUAUAUCUGCAAGAGACCUAGAUUCUAUGCCUUGUUUCAGAUUUGAGAUUUUACACUUUUGUAUCUUAUUAAUGGCAGGGGAGGGGAUGUUUGUUGGAGGAAUGUUUGCCGUUAAUGAAGGUGGAUUGGCUGGGAAUUUCUAAGUGGAUCUGAUUGGAUUCUCUGAUGAAUAGGUGACGUUUCACCUCUACACCUAUAGUUCUCCCACUAAGACAUGUGCUUUUUGUUUGGACAUAUGGCCACACUCAGGAUUUUUCUGGGUUUUGCUUAUUUUUAUUUAUAUCCUGGUGGAGUUAAUUAUCUCCAGGGAAUACCUGUGGUGUGUUCAAUGGAAAGCUAGAGAGUGGCUCUGGAGAUAAUGUGUUUAAUUAAACUAAAAAUUCUCCAGCACCUGUCUAUGGAAGCUGGUGCUGCAGAAUGCUUGUUCCUGAAACAAAUCAGGGAUACAUUUCAAUCUGUGUCCACCAGAGCCUGUACAUUAUGGUUAAUUCUUUUCAGUGUACCGUACUGGGGUCGAUGUGGGUGGAAAGGUAGAGGGAAGGCCAAGAAGGAAAAAAAAAGAACACACAAAUCUGAAUAAUAUAUUCACGUCUAUAAUAUGUAAAACUUAAGAUGUGCCAGAAAUGGCUGAUAAAUUGACAGAUUUUUCAAAUGCCUCUUCUGCGUGUAACAAUUAUGUGUUCUUAAUACAUUUUUUGUUGAUGCAAAGAACUAUAGUGAUAGAUAUCUUGAUCUCACGCUUGCAACUGGAAAUAAAUUCUACAUGUUCAUAUUGUAUCCUUUGAAACUAUAAUUGUUUGGGUCUAAUGGAUGCUAUGGUGUGCUGCUCAA
rnacentral:lncRNA from 1 species